rnacentral:rRNA from 1 species
CACGUAGGGCGCGAGCGUUGUCCGGAAUUAUUGGGCGUAAAGAGCUCGUAGGCGGCCUGUUGCGUCCGCUGUGAAAGCCCCGGGGCUUAACCCCGGGUCGGCAGUGGAUACGGGCAGGCUAGAGGUAGGUAGGGGAGAAUGGAAUUCCCGGUGUAGCGGUGAAAUGCGCAGAUAUCAGGAGGAACACCGGUGGCGAAGGCGGGUCUCUGGGCCGUAACUGACGCUGAGGAGCGAAAGCAUGGGGAGCGAACAGG